AGUGAACGCUGGCGGUAGGCCUAACACAUGCAAGUCGAACGGCAGCACAGGAGAGCUUGCUCUCUGGGUGGCGAGUGGCGGACGGGUGAGGAAUACAUCGGAAUCUACUUUUUCGUGGGGGAUAACGUAGGGAAACUUACGCUAAUACCGCAUACGACCUACGGGUGAAAGCAGGGGAUCUUCGGACCUUGCGCGAUUGAAUGAGCCGAUGUCGGAUUAGCUAGUUGGCGGGGUAAAGGCCCACCAAGGCGACGAUCCGUAGCUGGUCUGAGAGGAAGAUCAGCCACACUGGAACUGAGAAACGGCCCAGACUCCUACGGGAGGCAGCAGUGGGGAAUAUUGGACAAUGGGCGCAAGCCUGAUCCAGCCAUACCGCGUGGGUGAAGAAGGCCUUCGGGUUGUAAAGCCCUUUUGUUGGGAAAGAAAUCCAUCUGGUUAAUACCCGGGUGGGAUGACGGUACCCAAAGAAUAAGCACCGGCUAACUUCGUGCCAGCCGCCGCAGUAA
rnacentral:rRNA from 1 species